CAAAUAUGAGCAUAGGAGACGAGCGAGGGAGGAUCGCGGAUCGCGCCCGCCGCGGACGGGGCCCGCUGCCCGGGCCUCGGCGGCCGCCAACUCCCUCCUCCUCCAAAUCCUCCUCCUCCUCAGCUGCCGCCCCAAGGCCGCCGGCUGCCGAGUGCAACCGGGAGGUGGAAUCCCUCUGCCAGAGGGCAUCCCUUUCCAGUGUUGGGGCCCAAGAGCAGAGCGGCGCAUCCCACCCAUGGGUCCCGCCUAAGACCCCUGAAGGGGUAGAAAAGAGAGGAACCAUCACGAGGAGAACCGACAGCGAGCCAGGGACCUGCGGGAAGACAUUUAAGGGGUUUGAGAAGACUCUUGCGAUGCCCCUAAUCAACUGGGAGCUUUGUGAUUGAGGCCAUCCCUUUUGUUGAUUAAUUCUGAAGAGAUUUGAAGAAUGUAUUCCCAUGAUUGACGUGCUGCCUGAUUCUACCAGCUUUGGCUGUGGAUAUGCUACAACAAGUAAUAAAUAUUUAACAAGAUGACUUUCAAUAUUGUAGAGAAUGAAAUAAUCCUCUCUAGACCAUCAAAGCUGCUUGGCUUUUGGCACGAUUGUACCACAUGAAGUGGCAUACCCAAAAUCAACUACACACACAGAAUAAGGGGGCUGGGAGAGAGGGACAAGAAUGAAAUUUUAAGUUGGUACAGGAAGAUUCUUUUUUUUUUGAAUUUUAUUUUAUUUAUUUUUUUAUACAGCUGGUUCUUACUAGUCAUGUAUUUUAUACAUGUUAGUGUAUUAGUGUCAAUCCCAAUCUCCCAACAUCCCUCCACCACCCCCCGCCAUCCCUGCCACUUCCCCCCGCUUGGUGUCAGUAGGUACAGGAAGAUUCUGGCGGGAGACUUGAUUCUACUCUUUCACUCAGUCUGUUCCUGAGUGCUUCUUAUAUCGAGAGCAUCUCACAGCAUGGUGUGUGUGUCCAGUGUUUAAAGGUGUGUUUUUUUCACACAACUUACCCAUAACUGCAAACCAGCUCCUUCAUGUGUUGUUCAUCCAAAGAGGCUCCAAUAGGAGAUAGAGGAAACCCUGGCUGUGUUGGGCUUCCUGGGAAAUGGUAUGCUGCCCUCCAAAAUGGUGCUUCAUUACAGGAUUUUCUGCAGUAGUUUUACCGUUGCCAUUAAAGCUUCUGGGACAAUGGGUAUAGCGGCAGACUAGGAUUCCCAACCGAUGAUCAGCAGUACCCAAGGACAGCCCACAGUGAAGCUGGAGACCACAAAAAGCCCACAGCCCACACCUCUGGAGAGCAUUUUGGAGAAGACAGGUGGAGGAUAAAGUAAGGCCAAACCUCAUGGUUGGCCAGUGACUUGGUGAAGGCCGUCCCUGAGCAAAAGUGAGUUUUGCAAAUUUGGGGGUAGUAGAGAUAUGGAGCAAGACGUUGCAGGACUUGGAUACUGACUGAACUCGAGCAACAGUAAUAGAGAACUUUGAGAAGGAGCCUAUAUUCUUCUUUCGUGACUCCCCAUAGUGUGAUGAGUGCUCAAUAAAUGCUGUUGGCCAACUCUUUUAAAUUGGGGAUGGGGGAGAGGGGCACGAGGUUUGAAGGGGAAGGUGGGAGAUGGUUAAGGAAGAAUUUAUGUAUGUUCAACGGUCAUAGAGAAAACAAAUAGACCAAAUAAAACUAUUAGCCUUUUAACUUUCCACAGUUGUGUAAAAUGAAAUAAAAAUAGUUAGUUCCUUCUAAAAACCAUUAUAUUCUGUUCCCAGUGGUAACAAUUAUGACUAGAACUGAAAUGAAAACAUAUAACUAUAUCACAACCAAAGCUCUGAAAACUCAAGAUAUUUAGUGGAAAGAAAUCCUGAAGAAACACUUAGUAGAGUGUUUGAAGUAAAAGCAAAACAUUAAAACAAUAAAAACAUUUUCCAAAGGAAACAAAUGAUGCCCAGCUAAUUUCAUGUCACUUCACAGCAACAAGGAAAAAAAACGUUGGAAAAUAUAUACAUUAUGUAAGCAAUGAUGUUAAAACAUGAAGGAAAUAGCUCUGAACUGUUUCCAACUUUGCCUCUAAAAUUCCUUUGGUGUGAUGGCUGAACAUAUUAUUUCCUGUUCUUGUACUCUGUGGGAAGUAACACACCCAUUUUAAUCUUUGUCACUUUUUCCUAUAUCAACAUUCAUGGGAGGAAUUAGCACCGAUAAUUCUCCCAAGGUUGAUAUCUCAUAGUCAGAAGUCUUGUGGCAGUGGGUCUCAAACUUAAAUAUCAGAAUACCUGGAGAACUUGUUACUAUCCUGGGAUCUCUCCCAGAUACAAUGAUUCAGCAGGUCUGGUGAGAGAUUCAGGAAUCUGCAUUUCUAACAAGUACCCCAAAUGAUUCUAAGACAGGUGUUCCACAGACCUUUCUCUGGUUUAGAAUAGCAAGGGUAAUUUUCAUGUCUACUUUCCAACUGAGGAGGAUAAGUUUCGAGCUCUUUUUUCUAUAAUGCCCAUAAGAAUGGUGGAAAGGAUUACAGGAGAAUACAUGAGAGUAUACAUAACACAGCUUUCAUGACCUUUACAGGAAACUCAAAUAACUACAAUUUUUGAUUUAUAAUAAGCUUUGAAAUGAGGCACUGAAAGAUUCUGAGUUGCAUCCUGAGUCAUCAGUCAUUAAUCUCCCCAUAGUUUUAACACUGUGAAUAUUUUAUUGUAUUCCUUGAAAAUUGGUUAUUUUUAAAUCAGGUUAUAACUCCUAGGUAAGUGGAAUAUUAAAAUUUUUUAAAAUUACUCCAGGUAAAUGGGAAUUUUCUGUACCAAUCUAAUACUAGAAUAUGAUACACUUUAUGAAAUACAGUUGAUCCUUGAAUAAUACAGGAGUUAUGGGUGGCAAUCCUCUGCGCAGUCAAAAAUUCAAGUGUAACUUAUAGUCAGCCCUACCUAUACUCGGUUCCUCAGUAUCUGUGGUUCUGCAUCCACCAGUUCAACCAAUCUCGAAUUCUGUAGUAUUUACUGUUGAAAAAAAUCAGAAUAUAAGUGGACACAUGCAAUUCAAACCCAUAUUAAAGGUCAACUGUACUUUGUUAUAGUAUAUAUUUUUUUCUGAACAUAAUGAAAAUAGCAUUCUUCUCCAGACAUUUAAAUUACAUAGGGCAAUAUUUAUUCCACCAAUGUCCAUAUAUAAUGUUCUGUUUGAUAACUAAGUAGUGUUCUAAGUAUACUCAGCUGUUCCUGGGGAAAACCAAGAAAAGUGAUUUUGAUUUUUCCAUGUUAUUUAAGCAUACUGGAAAAUGAAAAUGAAAAUUUAUAUAAUUAGGCAGUUUUACUUAGAUAUGAUACAUUGUAACUUUUGAAAAUGUGGUUUUAUUUAAAUGGGAUAUAUCGAAAUGUGGUUUAUUUAAAUGUGAAACAAUGUAUAAUUCAUAACGAUGAAUAGCAGAAUGAGUGGCCAGUCAACAAGGCUCAUGGCUAGCUCUCCGAAUGUGCAAACAGGAUUCAACAACCCACAUUACUGUUCAUAACCAGUCUCUCUUCUUCACUGUCUGCUUCUUUCUCAUCCCUAUUGCUCCUGUUAUCUUCCAGGGAUCUACACCACACAACAGAGCCUCAAUGAUACCAGAUAUAUACCACAUAAAAUUAAUUUGUAAGACUCCUAUUGUUAAAAGAUUAUACCAGCCUAUAUAUUUAGAGUCACAUUAAGGAACAUGGCAAUAACACAGGACUGAUUUUGGACAAUCAUUUUCAAGGUUUAAUGUCUUCUGUUGGUGAAUCACAACUGGUCCUUUCCAGUCAGGCUGACAUCACUCCUCUAAUGACUGACACUACCCUAGUUCCACGGAUGAUAAUUCUUGAAUGCUGUCAUAAUCAGGAUCUUAAUCUCAAUGUUACUCACAUUGAGAAAAAGAAAUUUAGAUUUUCUGCCUCUUUGAAGUAGAAGUACUGAGCAUAAAAACAAUUUUGGACACAAUA